GACGGGGGGGGCAAGUGUUCUUCGGAAUGACUGGGCGUAAAGGGCACGUAGGCGGUGAAUCGGGUUGAAAGUGAAAGUCGCCAAAAAGUGGCGGAAUGCUCUCGAAACCAAUUCACUUGGGUGAGACAGAGGAGAGUGGAAUUUCGUGUGUAGGGGUGAAAUCCGUAGAUCUACGAAGGAACGCCAAAAGCGAAGGCAGCUCUCUGGGUCCCUACCGACGCUGGGGUGCGAAAGCCAUGGGGAGCGAACAGG
rnacentral:rRNA from 1 species